AAAGUCGCCAUUCCUGGCCCCAAAAACUCGUGUCUCAAUGUACUGGCCUGUCGUGCAGCGAGCAGUCUGCGCUUGGACUCGGUAACAGUAUGGGUGAAGCCGCUGCUUCCAUGUGACCACGGAGCAGGCGUUGUCGCUGUGCUCCCACGCUUCGAUGAUGCCAUUUCAAGGGAGAUAGACUGAUGUAAUGCUGGUGACAGCACAAUUGUCAUCCUGCUAAAGAGAAGAGUAUUGUGAUCUCCAUGGAAAAGAAAAGUGAAGCUUUCAUCUGCAGGCUCGGAUCCCAUUAACUGCAAUAAUCUCAACCUUUGAGCAGGCUGGGAGUGGAAAUUACUACAAGCUGCUGAAUACAAAUGACAUCAUCUUGCCACCCACAAAUCUUAGGAGUUUGACAGCCCAGAAGGUGGCAUACGCUCGAAGGAAGACAACUCCAAUGAAGUUGACAGGUUCUGUGGAUUUGAGAGGAAACAUUUUCAUAACAGUUAUUCUCUUCUCCAUGUUCUUUUUUGGUUUUGCAACUGUCAGUACCAUGAAAUUAGGACCAGGACAACAAGCCAUGAGCUUCCCCCAGAGCCAUGAUCAACGCUCCCUCUGCGAGGAGUUACGAGUUUUAGAGUACAUGUGCGAUUGUGCGUUAGUCCUUCUGCUAUCCCGCUAAUCACAGGGACUUUUCAGUGAGGCUGCCAGAACUCAAACAUGCCACGUAUAGACCAAAGUUGUCAAAGGUCAGAAAGAGGGUGCUUCCUGCCUGCGAAUUCUGCAGGUGCUCCCCUGUGUUUGACGGAAUGCUGGACACAUUUUUCUAUGCUCAAAUUCUCUUCCAUUAAAGGACACACACCUUCUUUACAUGUGAUUCUGGAAAUGCUCUUCUAUCCAUAUUAUGGAGCUGUACAUGCUGUAAUCAUAAAAGUGGAAAGAAAUCAAAAAGGUACAAUUUCAAAGGAACAAAUGGCACCAGAACCAUAAGGCACCUGGACACAAAUGAGGCUUUGGGGGAAAAAAAAAUUCCUCUGCUCCCAUUUGUUCACUUUCAGGGCUUGGUCUCGUGCAUUUAGGAUUUAGUGGUAAAAAUGAUUUUAAUUAUGUUUUAAUCCAACUUAUUCUAAAAAUUGUUUUGAAAGCUCUUUGGAUUUCAAACAAUAAAACAGAACAAUGAAGGGUUGUGGACCUAUAUUCAAAGAGAAAAGCAAAUAAAUUACCUAUAUUCAAGGAGAAGUUACAAAUAACUUCUUUUACAUUAAAUUUCCUUAACUAAUAAAAUAUUCCUUCACUA